GACAUUGAAAGAUCGGAGUAAAGAAGACAACAUGAAUAUGUGAUGCUCGUUUAUCUAUUAAAUUAAAUUUUAUUUUAAUUUUAUUUCAAAUUAAUUUUUAAAAAAACUAAUUUGAAAAUUAGUAUGAAAAAAAAGGAUAAUAGAGUAGGUGUCCAAAUCAAAACACAUAAAUAUAGGACAAAAACAGGGAGAGAGGCUCUUUGUUUUUUUAACUGUAUUGGUUUAUAGUGUUUUAUAAAUAUUUUAGAUAAAAAAUAGGUUAAAAGGAAGUUUUUAAAUAAAAAAUCAAGCUUUAUUAUUUUAUAUAAUUCAAAUAAAAUCAAUUUAUUUAAUUGUUUAGAAUUAUAACUCAAGUUAUUUAACGACUUUUUAAAUUAUUUCUGUUACUUUCCCUCAAUUUUCUAGACAAGCAAAAGGAGCUAAACUUAUUCCCGACCAAAACGUCAAGAAUUUCAGUAGAACAAAAGAAGAGAUUAUUACUUGACCAAAAACAACCAGUCAUCACCCAAAGAAACCGAGUCAAUGAGAGAAAAAGACUGAUAGCUAGAAAACAAUCAACAGAUCCAAGAAUUUUCUGUAUGGUUUCCAAGAAAAUGAAACGAAACAAAGAUAGACAAAGAUAGUUCGAGGAAGUGGGCAGCCUUUUUUCUGCUGUUAACGCAGACUAAGAACUCCUACCAUCGUAAAAUCAUAUAAUUAAAACACAACAAUAAAAAAGUAAUGAGCAGCUAACUAUGUGCGAAAACCAGAGAAAUAAGGAUACAAAACGUGAGAGUGAGUCAUUGUUGUAAGUAAAAGAGGCGCAGAGAGAAUGGGAAUUGGAAUUUCAUACCUUAACUUGAGAAAAUAUGUGCGAAAAGCAGUGGUACUGAUUGCUCAAUGAAAAGGAGAAGGCCUUUAGCUCUGUAUGGAAUCCAGCUUCAACAGCAACAAGGCAAGGUCUAAGCAUUUUGAUGACAUAAUUAAGAUAAUAUGCGUAGUAAUAUAGAGACAGUGACAAAGAAAUGAAGAAAAAAAAUGCGUACGAGUACUCACCUAGCAAAGAAAGAAACGGAUGAAAGGUUCAGGAUAAUCACUUAGACGUUUCCAUGGAUGAUACCAGCUUGCUUCCAACAACAAAUAUAAUUAACCUAAGCUAUGAUCGGUCAAUGUUUUUUUUAGUUUUCUUCUUUUUCAGAAAAAAAAAAAAAAAAAAACAGAUCAUCAAGGGAAAAGACUUGCAAAGAAGUAGAAUUAAUGGAACGAACACAACAAGGAAUCAAACUCAAGCAAUUAAAAGUAAUUGUCUAUGAGUACCAUCUGUGUCACACGCUCAAGUGAGGAGAGAAAACAAGGAAAAAGAAAGGAAAGGGACAAGGAAGGCAGAAAGUAAGGUCACGUAGGGCUAGUCUUGUAGAAAGUGGGAGAGAGAGAGAGAGAGGUUAAAAAGGCUUAAAAAGAAAAGAAAAGGAAAGACAGAAAUAAAGGAAAGGACGUGGAAAUAGAAGGAGAGGUUGAGGGAGGCAGAAACGGAAGGAGACAUUGAAAGAUCGGAAGAGAGCAAAGAAAACAACAUGUUUGAGUGGGAUUUUUUUGUGCCUUUGAUAAAAAUACUCUGUUUUUUUUUCUCUUUGAUUGGGAUUUUUUUGUGUCUCUUUUAUUUGGAAUUUCUUUGGACACUUUAAUAAUAUAAUAACAAAAAAUAAUUUGAUUAAAUUAUUGUUCAUUCAAACACAGAUUUACUGUGGACUCCAAUAGUAUUUUUCACUAUAUUUUGAAUUUUAGUUUUUGAUAGCCAUGCUCGUUUGAUUUUUUUUUUUUUUUUUCAUACUCUUCCAAAUAAUGCAAGAAAUGAGGACCUGAAAUAACAGCAGCGAAUAAGGAGAGAGAUAACGUGUUUGUUCUUGUUUCUUAGAAAGUAUUUUAAAAAAUAUUAAAUUAAAUUUUAUUUUAUUUUUAUUUCAAAUUAAUUUUUAAAAAAACUAAUUUGAAAAUUAAUAUGAAAAAAGAGGAUAAUAGAGUAGUUGUCCCAAUCAAAACACAUAAAUAUAGGACAAAAACAGGGAUAAUAGAGUGCUCUUUGUUUUCUUAACUGUAUUGGUUUAAUAAGGUUUAUAGAGUGUUGUAUAAAUAUUUUAGAUAAAAAAAAGGUUAAAAGCAAGUUUUUAAAUAAAAAAAAAAGCUUUAUUUUUUUAUAUAAUUUAAAUAAAAUCAAUUUACUUAGUUGUUAAGAAUUAUAACUCAAGGGGAAAAACUUACAAAGAAGUAGAAUUACCGGAACAAACACAAGAAAGGAUCAAACUCAAGCAAUGAAAAGUAAUUGUUUACGAUGAUCAUCUCACUAAGUAAGGAGAGAAAAGAAGGAGAAAGAAAGGAAAAGGACAAAGAAGGCAGAAAGUAAGGUCACGUAGGGCCAGUCUUGUAGAAAGUUUGAGAAUUAGAGAGGCUGUUUGCUGCCAAGUGCCACGUGACACAAACGAAGCUACCCCUUACCUACUCCUGGAAAGGAAUGUCAGACUAUACUGCCUUUUUCAAUUCAUUAAUGUCGUUCCCAUCAUAUACAUGUUUUAUAUUCUUAAAAUUGCUCUGUGGGAUUGCAGGCCAUGCUCGUUUGAUUUUUUUUAUAACAAAAUUCUUUCCGUAUAAUUUUCCAACAUUGCACUUGGAUACCAAACUUCAAUUUACUCUUUUUCAAGGUUUUUUUUUUUUUUUUGGAGAAAAGAGUGGGUCCUUGAAUUUUAUUUCAGAGAGAGAAAGUUGUUGUUAGCUAUCAAAAUCAUUGAUUUUUGUGUCAAAUGAUAAUCAUCUAUUUUUUUUCUGUGUGUUCAUACUUAAAACCUUCUUAAAGAGUUCUUAUCAAUGACUUUAAAACCACUCUUUCUAGAUCAAAAGGUUAGAAAUAACUCUCUACCCUCUAAAUCUAACAAAACCACCAAGUACCUUUAAAACCAAAACCACAAUUGCAAAACUAGUUUAGUAUAAGAACUUCUAACUAUUAGCUUUUGUCCAUAACUCUCUCAUUUUGAUCUAAUGGUUAAACUUUCAUUAAUUUUUAAGGGAAUCUAUAAAAAAACCUAGAAAAACUCUAUAAAUACCCUUGAAAAUCAGAGUCAGAGAGAAGGAGAGAAGGGGAGAAAAGGAGAGAAAAAACAUGGGGAAAAAAUUUGUUAAUAGACUCUAUUACGAAGGUUCAAGAGCUUAAUAUAAAAGGUCUAAACAACUUUUAAAAAAAAAAAGUUAAAAGAAAAGAAGGAAGGAAAUGAGAAGAAAAAAAAAUAACAACGUAAUUUUGAACUUAGAAGGCCUAAUUUCAGUGCAAGUUGAGAGCAUUAGAGACUAGACCGUGCUUAUACCAAAAACGACUCUCAUCGUUGAAGGAAUGCAAACAGUUGUUAACGAGACACUCAUGCUGUUCCAACAUUCAAAGAUUGUUGAAUCUAGUACUGGUGCUCAUUCUGGAUCUAGUACCAAAAGGAAUAUAGAAAGAGAUUACCAUUGGGGCAAACGUGGGCAAUGCAUUUAUAAUAGCCAGAGAGGUGUUUUUAUAUACAAUCAACAAUUAAGGUAUCUUCUUGUGCUGAGCUUCCAUCAUGGUUGCAAGACAUUACCAUUGGGGCAAGGUCAUUUUGCUCGUAAAAGCAAGUUUUAAUUAAAAACUAAAUAAAUAAAGUAUUGAAAAUUGUUAUAAUCAAUUUGAAAAAACCUAAUAACAAUAGAUUAUUAUUCUUGUUAAACCCCUAACUUCAUAAUAAAAUUUGAUUAUCCUAAUACAAGAUUUAAUAUAAUUUCAUAGUUGUUAAACACUAACUGGACAUACAAAAAAGUACAAAUUACAACAAAAAAAUAAUUUGUUAAUAGACUUAUUAAAUUGGAGGACUAAACUAAAAAUGUCAUAAGUUCAUGACUAUACUAAAAUUCUUUCCAUAAUUCAUCCUCAAUUUUAUCUAGAAUUUCAAAUUAUGCUCCAGAAAUCACUCUGGAAUUUUUUUAAAUUUCUAAGGUCAAAUUAUAAUUUCAUCAAAUUGGAGGAUCAAAAUGAAAAUGUCAUAAAUUCAUAACUAUACUGGAAUUCUACCCAUAAUUCAUUUUUAAUUAUGUCCAGAAUCUUGGAUUAUACUUCAGGGACCAAUCUCUAAUUUUUUCACAGUUCAGGGAUUAAAUUAUAAUUUUUAUAAAUUGAGGGACUAAGCUGAAAUUUCAUAAUCUUCAACCUCAAACCCAGAAUUUACAUAGAUAACCUAUUGAUAUAUCAAGAUUUCUAACUCAAAUUCACCAUUUAAAUAAAUUAUCACUCAAAAUUAUUAUUUUUAUCAAAAAGCUUUUAAAAUCAACUAAAUAACUCGUUAGCAUAUCAAUGAACCAAUAAUUUUUCUAUAAUGUAAUUGUAAUUCCUAGCAUAAUGCAUAUUGGAGGGCAAGCACAACAACUCAGGAGCAAAAAACUCGAUGAAAUAGCAAAAUAAAAAGACUUGAAGGACUGAAAUAAAAUAAAACAAAAAAAGAGGGAUGAAAAAACUAACCGCAUUCUGGUUGCCAUAAAAAACAUAGUUCUUUUAGUAUAUAUUUUUUUAAAAUAUUGUAAUAGGUCAAUCAUAUUACCCGAGUAUGUGACACAGAGAUGAUCAUCAUAGAAAAUUACUUUUAGGUGCUGGAGUUUUAUCCUUAGAUGACAAACUUACCUUUUUGUCCUUCUAAUGCUUUUGCUUUCAUUGUUUCGAAAGUAAAAGAGACAAAAACAUAAUCAUUUCCUUCCUUUUACUUUCCACUUCUUUGUAAUGGAUUGCAAACGGGAUGGUGCUUAGGGGGGGCCAGUUUUUCUUUUCCUUUCUUUUUAAAAUCUUAUUCCUUGGGUGAGGAAAUUAGUGGAGCAUUAGACUUUUUAAAAGACAACAAAAAGAAUUAAGUAAUGUCUCAUCUUUUGAUAUGGUGGUACAAGAUGCACCAUGGUAUGGUGGUCUUGCAAGAAUGUCUUAUCUUUUGAUAUGGUUGUCUUUCAUGAUCAGUUUGUUGAUGAGGAUAUCAAAAGAUUCGAGUCUCCGCUCUAGUUCAGGUUGGAAGCUAGGCAGAAAGCUAAGCUUCUUGUAAUUAUGAAUUGUUUAUGCAAAGGAAACCCAGAAGCUUGAACAAACAGAAAUGCCUUGUUGAUUUCUCUGCUACUACUCAUUAUUUCCAAUAUUAUUCCAUUAUCUUACCCGAAAGCAAUUAUACAAGAAAUUUAAUUAUCCUGCCCCAAAAGGAAAUUUAUUACAAGGACUUCCUUUAACCUCCUUGAAGGCAAUUUAUUUGAUGAAAAUUCCUUUAAUCCACCUCGAAGACAAUUUAUCUUAGGGAAUUCCAACAACCCAGACAAUUUAUUUCUUGGAAAUUCCUUUAACCCACCCUUAAGGCAUUUUAUCAAAGGGAAUUCCAAAAUCAAUUUAUUUCUUGGACUCGGUAUUCUCUGGUACUAGUUAUUUAUAUAUAUUUAACAACACUUUUAUCUUACAUUUAAAAAGAAAUUCAAAAGAAAGGAUAACCCUUACCUAGAGCUCCUGUGGUUCUUGUUCCCGAGAGAAUUGGCUCCACUACGGGCAAAUCUACUACCAAAAACCCAAGUUUCAACCAAUCAAUAACAUCAACACCCAUUUUAAUUCAAUGCAAUAAGUUUUUCUUAACCAAUUUACUUGAUGCAAGUUCUUAUAAUCAAAGUGACAGUAUUCGAGGUGAAGACAAGCAGAAGGGCGUGAUAGAGUUUGACAAAGAUCAAGCUAGUUCCAAUAAAGGGAAACACUCUAUGGCCUAUGCAGGCCAAACUGCAAUGGCAUCCAAUAAGUGAGGACAAUCUUGUAUCUUCCAAGUGGCAGUAGAAUUUAAUUAUAACUACCAUUAUUCUUAUCUUUAGUUAGUAAUAUAACUCUAUUUAUUGUAUCUAUUAGGACAUUUUGUAAUGAAAACCUGUUAGUUAUUUGGUGUGAUUCCAAGGAGUGAUUCCUUUGAAUGAUAUCAGGCUCUACUUAUUUCAUAUUCCUUGCAAUUCUUGGAUUCUGCAAUAAAGUUAUCCGAAUUCUUUUCCUCUAUCAAUACUUUCUUGCUAUCUUUUAUAUAAUGUUCAUUAGUUUACAUAAAUUGUUCCUUUAAUAUCGUUUGGUAUUAAUUGAUAUCAGAGCAAGUUUUGAAUUUUGUUCUUCUAUGCCUGGAAUCGCAGUGGAAAUUCUUAUAAUCCCACCAAUAAAAGAUUACAGGACCCAAACCAAUUCUGAACUCCCCGUAGAAAACAUCUCCAAACCCAUUUUGAAUCACCCACAACAAGCAUCUCCACAACCUAUUAUGAACCCCCCAUAACAAGCACCUAUUAUGAACCCCCCAUAACAAGCAUCUCUACAACAUGAUUCUACUUGUUAAACCAGUUACAACCACAAAUGGAGUUGGUUACCCGCACCUUGGGAGCCAUUGUUGAACAUCUGGAUAACAGUGAAGAAAGGAGUAAUAUUGAUGAAAAUUGAAGGGGCAGAGUUGAUCAAGGAGGAGAUGUGGCUAUAGAUGAUGAAGAAGUAGGAGAACAUUAGCUCAAUUCAGUCUACAGUAACAGGGAGGUCAAAAUUGAAAGAUAUGACUAUUUUCAUUAAUUUUAUUAAAGCUUAUAAUAAAACGUUGUGUUUUUAAUUGGAAUUUUUUUUUUUAUAUGGCUUGGCUUUUUUAUUUUUUUUAAAUGCAAUCUCCUUCCCUUUAUCAUACAGAAAUCCAGUUUUGAGUUUAUGUAACUAUAUUAACAAAACGAUUAAAUGCUUUCGUGUCAGUUUAAUUAUUUAUAUAAAUAAUAAACCCAGUUAAUAUAUUUUUUAAUCAGUUUAUGAUAUAUUUGUCUCAUAGUUGAGUUAGUUAAUGUAUGUUGAUUGAUCCGAAGGUAGUGGGUUCAAGCUAUACUAGGAAUAAUAUUAUGUUUUUUCAAAUUAGUAGCAAAGGCGUGUGGGCUUGUCUCAGGCUCACAUGCUAGUGCCUGAGUUUUACUGUAAUAGACCCUAUCAUAUUAGGCCACGUAAGCCGGAGUGGUUGGAUAUUUUUUUAUUGGUCAUUUUAAAUUUUUUUAUUUUUUUAAUAUAAUUUUUUAAUUUUAUAUUUUAAUGUUGAGUUUUUUUAUUGAGUUUUAUUUGUCAAUAUUGAAUUUAUUAUAAAUUAAUUUUUGUAUUUUUUAUUAUAUAUAAAAUAAAAAAGUUUAAUUUAAAUUAAUAGAGUUUAUAAUCCGAGUAAAGUACUUGGUGGGUUAGUUAUAAACCUGAACUUUUUUAUUUUUUAUUUUUUGGAAAAGUAAAAGACAAAUUAAAAAAAUAAAGUAAUCUAUCUUUUUGAUAAGGUGGUUCAAGAUGCACCAUGAUACGGAUGUAUUUUAUUUUAUUUUUGCCUUUUUCUUUUAAAAAUGUUAUCUAAGAUGGAAAUACUUGCAUCAUGAGUAUGUAUUGGCCUACAAGUCCAAGCUAUUUGUGAUCAGGAUAACCUAUCAUGUCGAGCAUUAGAGUUUUUAAAAGACAAAACGGGGACAAGUGGGAGGCGAAGAAAAAGACAAUAGUAGGUGGUCUAAGAUACAUCUAUCUAUAUAUGACAAUAAUAAAACAAGCCUUUAAAACAACUCUGAAAACAAAUUUUUUUAUAAUUCAUAAUUUAUAAACACAUGCGAUAAAAUAACACUAUUAGAAAUUCGUUAAAUAGCAAUGAAUUUACCGACAAAAUAUUUCUGUCGGUAAUUUAAGGUCGAAAUUACCGACGAAACUUUUUUCGUCCAUAGUUCAAUCGGUAACUGCCGACGGACACUUUUCGUCGGUAGUUACCGACUGAAUUACGGAUAGAAAGUUCAAAAUUAAAAAAAAAUAGACGGGCCGCUGACGUGGAGGUUUUGGCUGGGUGAUUUUUUUCGACAAAUUCAAAAUGACAACGUUGUACAGUCACGUGACCUGCUCACCGUUAAAAAUACCGAUGGAAUCACCGAGGGAUUACAGGACCCAUUUGAACUCCCCGUAGAAAACAUCUCCAAACCCAUUUUGAAUCACCCGCAACAAGCUUCUCUACAACAUGAUUCUACUUCCUUGUUAAACCAGUUACAACAACAAAUGGAGUUGGUUACCCGCACCUUGGGAGCCAUUGUUGAACAUCUAGAUAACAUUGAAGAAAGGAGUAAUAUUGAUGAAAAUUGAAGGGGCAGAAAUGAUCAAGGAGGGGAUGUGGCUAUAGAUGAUGAAGAAGUAGGAGAACAUUAGCUCAAUUCAGUCUACAGUGACAGGGAGGUCAAAAUUGAAAGAUAUUACUAUUUUCAUUAAUUUUAUUAUAGCUUAUAAUAAAACCUUGUGUUUUUAAUUGGAAUUUUUUUUAUAUGGCGUGGCUUCUUUUUUUUUUUUUUAAUGCAAUCUCCUUCCCUUUAUCAUACAGAAAUCCAGUUUUGAGUUUAUGUAACUAUAUUAACAAAACGAUUAAAUGCUUUCGUGUCAGUUUAAUUAUUUAUAUAAAUAAUAAACCCAGUUAAUAUAAUUUUUAAUCAUUUUAUGAUAUAUUUGUCUCAUAGUUGAGUUGGUUAAUGUGUGUUGAUUGAUCCGAAGGUAGUGGGUUCAAGCUGUACUAGGAUUAAUAUUAUAUUUUUUCAAAUUUAUAGCAAAGGCGUGUGGGGCUGUGGGCUUGUCUCAGGCUCACAUGCUAGUGCGUGAGUUUUACUGUAAUAGACCCUAUCACAUUAGGCCACAUAUGGUUGGAUAUUUUUUUUAUUGGUCAUUUUAAAUUUUUUUACUUUUUUUAAUAUAAUUUUUUAAUUUUAUAUUUUAAUGUUAAGUUUUUUUAUUGAGUUUUAUUUGUCAAUAUUAAAUUUAUUGUAAAUUAAUUUUUGUAUUUUUUAUUAUAUAUAAAAUAAAAAAUAAUAAUUUAAAUUAAUAGAGUUUAUAAUUCGAGUAAAGUAUUUGGUGGGUUAGCUAUAAACCUUAACUUUUUAUUUUUUAUUUUUUAGACGAGUAAGAGACAAAUUAAAUAAACAAAGUAAUCUCAUCUUUUGUUUUUUUUUUUUUUGUUUUGCCUUUUUCUUUUAAAAAUGUUAUCUCCUUGGUAAGGAAUCCUUGGUUCCCAACAGCAACUGUAGCAGAGUUGACGGUUGCGUAAAAACAAAUCUCUAAACUCCACCGAAAGUAGUGGAGCAUUAGAAUUUUUAAAAGACAAAACGGGGACAAGUAGGAGACGAAGAAAAAGACAAUAGUAGGUGGUCUCAGAUACACCGUAUAUAUGACAACAAGACAAUUGACCGUGCGAUGCGCGAGUUAUUUUUUUUACAUAAAAAAUAUUAAAAUAAAUAAAAGUUUAAAAAUUUUGAGUUUUUCUGUAAAGUUAUACAUAAAAAAUUUAAGUUUGGCUGCAACGCCUGACCUAAGAGUAAUAUUUAUAAUAUUAAUAAUAAAAUUAAACUUGCUGCAACACUGGACCCAAGAAUAUUGGAUGUGGGUCUAGAUAUAAGGUCGUGUCAUAAAAGUGUGAUAAUUAAAUAGAUUGAUAAAAAAAAACAAAGAAAAAAAGUCAACACAAAGGAAAAAACUAAUGAAGUAAAAGAAAAAGAAAUUAAAUUAAUUGAGUUAACCCUUUAAACCAGGUUAUCCCGUAAAACCUGGGAUUCACAUCAUAAAAGUUUGAUAACUAAAUAAAAAAAUAAAUGACGGGUUUACCCAGAAUUAACUGGGUUAACCCAUUAAACCAAGUUAACCCGUCAAGCCCAGGACACGUGUCAUGAAAGUAUAAAAGUCUGAUAAUUAAAUACAAAGAAAAUUAACUUUAACAAACUAAACUAAAUGAAAAAAAUAAUUUAUCAAAUCAGGCUAACCCAUCAAAUCCAAGAUUCGUAUCAUGAAAAUCUGAUAACUAAAUAAAAAAAUUUAACAUUAACAAAUUAAAUCAAACAAAAAAAAUUCAUUAAAAAAAAUUAAAAAGAAAAAAAGGAAAAAAAUAGUUAUAUAAUAUAAAAUAAUAUAAUACAAUGUAAUUAUAAUUAUAAUUAUAAUUAUAAUAAUAUAAUAUAUUAAUAAGUAAAUAUAUUAGUAAAAGGUGUGACAUGCCCGCGCGAUGCUGCGGGCUUACGGCAUGCUCGUGCAUUAUUGUGGAUUUGUGAAAAAAAUCAUAUAAAAAAAAUGUUAUCAUCCACAAUAUUUUAAAGGAAAAAACUACAAAACUAUAUUCUCAACCAGCUUAAUAUUAAAAAAAAAAAUCGACAAAAACAAUUAUAAAAAAAAACAAAAAAAAAAGAAGAUGAUAAUUUUGGAAGAAAAAAAAGCAAAAAGCAAAUAAUAAUAAUAAAAAAAAAACACGUGGGGAAAGUUAAAGUUAAAUUUUCAACCAGCUUAAAAUCAUUUAAGAAAACACUGUAGCAAUCUAUAGUGUUUUGUGAAGAAAUAUACAACUAUAAUUCUCAACCAGCUCAAUAUUAAAAAAAAAAAUCAAUAAAGAUAAUUUUGACAUAUAUAAAAAAAAACGAAAGGAAAAAAAAACAUUCAUGGAAACACUAUAACAAUCUAUAGUGUUUCGUGAGAAAAUCUACAUUUGUAAUUUUUAACCACCUCAAUAUCAAAAACAAUAAAAACGACAAAGACAAUUUUAAAAAAAACAUAACAAAUAAAAGCAUAUGGAAAAACACUGUAGCAAUCAACGAUGUUUUAAGGAAAAAAACUAAAUUGUUAGCCAAUUCAGUAUGAAAAAAAUAAAUUUGACAAAAACAUAUUUGGAAAAAAAGCAUCGACAAAAAAAAAAUGUGGGGAACACUGUAGCAAGGAAAAAAUAAUAUGGGAAAACACUGUAGUAAUCUACAGUGUUUUAAAUAACUACAAAGCUAAAUUCUCAAUCAGCUUAAUAUAAAAAAAAUAAAAUCGACAAAGAUAAUUAUGAAAAAAAAAUUAUUUAAUAAAAAGACAUGUAGAGAAAUGACUAUUCACUAGACUUGUAGAUAUUAAUUAUAAAGUUUUUGAAAGUUUUCAAUCUAGUAUUUGAUUUUUUUGUUUGCAUAAUUGAAUCUCUUUGAACCCAAAUUAAAAUUUAAUUGCAUAUAUUAUUUUAAUAAAAUAGUUUGAAAAACAAAAAACUGAAGUAGAAACCCAGUAAAAAUAUGUGGUGAUACUAUAAUUUAUUUGUAAAGUUUAUUUUAAUUUCUUAUUUUUUUUAAAUUACUAGGUAAUAUGUCCCUAUAAUUUCUUGAAAUUGCAUUUUGAUACCAAAUAUCACUAGUUGUUUUUUUUAAGGAGAAAGAGUUAUUAUUAAGUAUUUUAACUAUCAAAAUAGUUGAUUUUUUAUGAUAAAUAAUUCCAUAAUCUGGCUUUCUUUUCAAAGUCCAGCUAAGUUUUUGGCUUAUUAUGUUCACAUAGAGAGGUGGGAUUUUAUAAGCCAUGCAAUAUAUUUUUUUUUUUGGUAACCAAACAUAACCACAAGCCCAAAAGAAAACAAUUUUAACAAUACCCACCAAACAGUUGAAGUGCUAUGUAGUAAUGAUUUUUUAGAAUUGUAUUUUUUUUUGGUAAGAUAUUGAAGUAUUUUUUAUUUUUAAUAUUAAUAUAUUAAAUUAUAAAAGAAUAUUUAAAAAAUAUCAAUUUAAUAAUUUUUAAAAUAAAUAAUUUUUAAUUUAAAAAAUAUCUAAAAAUAAAAGAUACCAUACUCCUGAACGAGCUAUAAAAUCAAUCUAAAAUUUUUAUAAACUCAAUUUACAAGCUGGGUACAGAAGUAUCAACACAACUACUUGAGAGACUGUUUAAAAUCAAUCCUUUUUAAAAAUAAAAAAACUCCUUAGUUGUUAAGGAAAGAUUGGUAGUGUGAACAAAUCACCAAAGUCAGCAGCAAGGAAGUUCCAGGAAGUGGGCAGCCUUUCUUCUGCUGCCAUUGUAAAAUCAUAUAUUUAAAAUACAGUAAUAAAAAUGUAAUACGCAGCUAAUUAAUGUAUUAAGCAGCUAAUUAAUGAUGUUGUUCUUUCUUCUUGUUUUUCUAUUUUGAUUUUAUUGUAUUUUUUCAAAAAAAUUAUGAUUGUGAAAGCUAGCCAAAGCAUUAGUUCCAAGCAAUCUAUGAGGUUAUUUAACAGUGUGGUUGUCAUUGCUUUUCAAUGUAUUUUUCAUUCGAAAAUACAUCAAAAUAAUAUUUUUUUUAUUUCUUAAAAAUUAUUUUUAAUAAACAUAUCAAAAUAAUCUGAAAACACCAAACAAUUAUUAAUUUGAAGUAAUUUUUUUUUAAAAUGCUUUUAAAACACAAAAAACAAACAGAAAAACUAGUGUAGGUGCGCUCAACAUUGUCCCGAGAUACUUUUAUAAUCUAAGUUUUUUAAUAUAUUUUUUAUUUAAUUAUGCAAUAUAUUCAUAGAAAACACCCAAAAUAAAAUUAUAGACAAAAAAUAUAUAUUUCAUCAAAAUUCUCUAGUCUAAUUCAUGUAUUUUUCUUCAAAAAAAAGUUUUUGAUGAUAUGAAAAGUAAUAACAACCAGGAAAAGUCUCCUAAGAAACUGUAAUGAUUUGAACUAAAAAAAUAUUUUUUUGUUGAAAACAUAGUUUUUUUAAUUCAUGAAUUUUUUUUAUUGAAAAGAAAUGUACUUUUUAUGAGUAAUUUUAUUUUGCUCAAAUGUCCCUAAUACAUAAUUAUUCAUAAAAUAUUGAAAAUAUCAUAAUAAAAAUGCCUAAUCUUCUUAAAAACAAUUAAAUAAUUGAACAAUCACUUAAAUAUUAUUUUAAUAAAUUGGAUUGAAAGAUUUUUUUUUAUUAAAAAUAAAGAAUAAAAAAAAUGAAAUGAUAUCUAAGAUAAAGGUUAUACAAGCCUUGAAAGAUAAUAUAUGUACGUGUAUAAUACAAAUUAAUAAAUUCUAAGUAGCAAUAUUUAAUGCAAGUUUAAGAAUAAGAGUUUGCUUUGUGUUUUGUUGUGAGAUUAACCAUAUCAAAUUAUAUAUUUAAUAAUAAAUAACUGUGUUGUGUUAUGAGUAAAAUCAAUAAAUUAUUUGGUGUUCUGCUAUCUUGUUGUUUGAAUUAAAAUUAUUAUUAAGAAUAUAAAUUAAAUAAAAUAUUGAACAAACUAAAUGAAUUGCUUAAUAAAUAAAUAAUUUUUUUUUUUAGAAAGCAUGGAAAUGCCAUGACAUUGGCUUUUUAGAUAAUACUACAAUAUUAACAGCCAAAGAAAUCAUCGAUAGCUGUGUAAAUCAUCGAAACUGCCACAAAAGCAGGAGAGGUAUUUCUUUUGGCAACACAUAAAUGAAAAAGAAUAAGAGUUCCUAGAUCUGAAAUAGGAGGAUAUAAUAGAUAUGCAAUAUGAGAGGAGGUUCCAAGAUUUAUUUAUCUUUGCCACCAUUUACAUUUCCACCGAGCAUCAUCUAGUAAAACAAUUCCGGGAUGGACUUAGACAUGAGCUGAAGCUAACCUUGAUAACUAUACAAUUCCGGGAUGGACUUAGAAUUGGUGUGGGCUAGAGGAUAAUGAAUAACACUAUGAAGCCAACUAAUAAGCAGAGUCAAGUAAAUUGUUCAUAAUGAAUAACACUAUUUAAGAGAAGAGACUUUAUGCAUCCUACAAAGAGGACCCCUCCAAAAAAAAAAAGAAAAAAAAAAGGAUAGUCGUUCGAGCAAUUUCAUGGAAGAAGGGGGAGCUUUAUUCACGGGGAAAAUUCAGGGGGAGCUAAAUGCUGGAGCUUUAUUCAUAGUUGGAUCAUUUGUGAUUUUAGUGUUUGCUACUCUCAGUACUUAUAUUAGAAGUGCUCUCAUCUUUGAAGGAAUGUAAAAAAUUGUUAAUAUGAAACUUAUUAUGUAUAGAAAAUUGUUGUUUUUUUUUUUUUUGGGUUUGAAUUAAUAUAAACAUACACAAUUAGUUGAAUUUCAAGAAUGAGCGAAUUUCAAGAAUGAGCUAACUUAAGAAUAAUCAUAAGUAUGUUUUUGUUAGAAAUAACUUUUUACUUAAAUAAAAAAUGUGUUGCAAAAUUGAUUUAUAAGUUUCUUUUUUCUUACUUUUAAAUCAUGGAUUGCAUCUUACACAAUAUUUUUGUUAAUUAAAAAAUAGUUAAUUUGAGUUGUUUUUAUUAAACAUCCUUAUAAUUAAUUCAUUUUCACAGUGAAUUAUUUAUUAAAAACAAAUUAAGAUUAACACUUAAAAAAAAAUAAAAAAAUAAUUCAAGAAUCAUAUUAAAAAAUUCUUAAUUUCUCACAGCACAACAAAAUGCUUUAAAAGAAAGCUAAUAAUCUGACAGGAGGUGGGGCUGCUCUUAGCCAAUGAAAACAGCUUCACAUGCAACACAUCAACAUGAAAAAAAAGAUUAUCAGCCUGUUUUUUCCUUAAAGAACACCCUCUUGGAUUCUCUAGCAUUAGCCACAAAGGUAUCUGCUUGGAAAAACCAUUCCACAAUCUAGAAAUUUAAAUGCCCAAAAAUACAUCGAUUGACAACAAGUCACAUGCCCAUACAUACAUUAACAUUGAUUUCAGAUCUUUUACAAAUUCUAAUCUUUGUAAGAAGCUGUUUUGCUGCCCAUCGGAUGUGACCACCUGACCAGAAGACAAUAUUAUAUUUUUUAAACCCUUCACUCUCAUAAACAACAAUUUAUAUGAUUAUAAAUAGGAUAAAAUAGGAUUACAUAUUUUUAGAAAUUACCUAUUACUGUUUUAGUUUUUUUUUCCUUAAUUAGAGAUAAGUUGAAUAAAGUAGUAACAAUUAUAUUUUUGAGAGAAAAAGUAACUACAACUCCUAAUAAUUAGUUUCGUGUAAGAAAUAAAAAUAAUUAUGUUAAUAAACUUUUAAAGAUAUUUUAAUUGAAUUAAGUAUUUCAACACAAAAUUUAUGCUCUUAUACAGUUAUAUAUUAAUUCUAACAAAAAAUAUGAUUUCUAUGUUUAAAUGUUGGUAUUAAUAACGGAUACAACAAUGAGGCAGUUAAGUUUGGUGGAUAAAAUAAAAUCAUUAAUAAAAUAAAAAUAAGCUAGUAUGUUUGUUACAUAACUAAAAAUAUUUAAUUUUUUUAUAUAUAUUUUUUUAAAUUAUUUUAAUAUGCUGAUAUCAAAAAUAUAUAUUAACAAGUUUUUAUUUCAAAAAUAAUAAUAAUAAUCCUUUGCUAGAAACUUAACAAAAGCCUUUUAUAGGUGCUCCCUCACGCGUCGUCUUAGUUGCUGACCAUUGAUUGCUCAUUGCUUGAUGCGUGGAGAUAGGAUCAGAUUUUUAAAGCUAAAUCUUGCAUCAAGGGUGGCUACUGGUAUUGAUGUCAUUUUCUUAGGUCAAUGAACAUUAUUUUUUUACAAUUUUAUAUUUUCAUGUAAUGUUUUGUGAUAUUUUAUCCUUGCAUUUUCUUGACAAUUUAAUGUGUUUUGUUGCAUUUUCUUUUAAAAUUAGAAAAAAACUCAAAAAAUGUCUUUUCAGUAGUUUUAUUCAUUUCGUUAUUUUUUUCAUUUAUUUUUUGUGUGUCAAGAAAUCUUGAAAAAAACAAUAUAAAAAUACAAAAAAUAAAUAAUAUAAAAAUAUGUAGUUGGGGUUGCAAUUGGACCAAUAUUUGAGUAUCACAAGUAAAAAUAAAAUUUGUAAAUUUUUAAGUCAUAAUUAAGAUUCGAAUUGAAGAUAAAUGGGCUAAAAUUGGCUAAAAUUGAAAGAAAUUGAAGUUCAAGGAUGAGUUUGGAACAAAUAGCCAAGUUAGAAAACCAAUUAAGAGCUUUAUUGAAGAAACAAAUUGAAAUUGGAAUGCAAUUUGACUCAAAACAAUGAAGAAUUGAAGGACCAAAGCCCUUAAAUGGAUAAAGCCGAUAAUUCAGAGGUCAUAUUCUGUCAGGGUUUUACUUGAAAGAAAUUUUUAAAAAAAGGUGAAAUGACCGAACUAAGGAAGAUUCAAAAACCAAUGAUUAAAAUGCAAAAAACGCUGAAAUGCAGGGACUUACAUGAAAAUGGGCCUAAUUUAAUUAGAAAAGAAACCCCAGGGCCUAAUUAGAAAACCUGUUUCAAAUAAAGUGAGACGAUGUGUUUUCUUGGGACUAGAGUUCAAAUUGCCAACAAACUCCUCUUGCCAUUCCCUAAUUGCACUGAGCCAGCUAAUCUGGAUGAAAGUUAUCGAUAGCUGUGAAAAUCAUUGAAACCGCCACAAAAGCAAACUCAAAUUAGUUAUGAAUUGGAUUCGAUGGAAGGAAGAUGGGAAGAGGGGAAAUUAAAGAGAGAUGAAGAUCUGCGCAUGGCUACCUGUUUUUGAGAGAAUUAUGGAAAGUUAUCCCAACUCAAAACGGCACCAAUUAUAAGUUCAGUAAAAAAAAUCUGGAACACAACAGAUGGAAAAAACUGCUACAAUUUAGGCAAGAAAUUCAGAAUGAGCCAAGAUUUCAAGUGAGAUGAAACUUUUUGUCUCACUUUUUUUUUUUUUUUUUUUUUAAUAGUAUCAUGGAUAACUAAACAGAGGAACGUUAAGAGGAUAGAAUAUUUAGAAUCACUAGCAAUAGCCAGCUGCUAGGUAUCUGCUCGAAAAACCCUUACUAUUAAUGCUAGGCAGUAAGGUUCUACUUAUAAUUUAGAAUUAGUUCUCAGCAACUUCACAGUUUAACUAAAACAUUUCUUAGCAAGUCUUUUGUAAUGAAUAAAGUAGCCAGGAUCAUUUCCAGCAUACUUCCACCUUUAACGAAGCAAUUAGGGUUUCUAGCAACUUUAACUUGCUAUAUACAAGUUUAACUCUUAUCAUGAACAUUGGCAUUUAAUGGAAAUUCAGUGCAGGAUAAUAAGGAAUUAAGCUUCAUGAAACAUGAAAUAAUGCAAGAGUUAAACAGGCUCUUGAUUUCCAACAUCACAAGCUAUAUGCCUAGAAAGAAGCUUGUGAAAGGGUUUGUAAUUAAGCAGCAAACAAUUAGAAAUCAGAGGAUACAUUGCAAUUGCCAGCAAUGUAUCUGCUCGAAAAAACCAUUCAACAAGGGGUUCUGCGAGGAAAACAUGAGAUUGUUCAUACAAUAGAUUGGAUAUCAGUUUCAAACUUUUGAACAAAUAAUACAACAUCAAGUCUCAGUCAUCACAUGAUCAUACGAAAACAUUUAUUCAAGAUCUUAAGCGGCAUUGCCAGGCCCAUUUCCAAAACCACAUAAGCAUAUGCAAUAGAAACAGAGCAUCAAACUGACAGAGAAAACAUACUGAUGCAGCAAAUACCCAAGUCGUAGAGCCAUUAAUUUGAGUAGAAAGGAGAAUGAAAGUCCACACAUUAAACAGUACGCACAUACAUGAGUAGACAUUAUGCUGUUUUUGAAGAUUCAGACACUUCAAAAGAAACUCAAAUGGGCCAACACACACUUAUUUUUGGGAAGUUCACACAGCAAACACGUACAUAGAUAAGUCGAAAUCUUCUUUUGGUAAAUAAAAUUGUUACAAUGUGAAGCCAAUUUCAAUCCCAUUGCCAAUGAAACAGUUGGAAUUAUUUCCACCAAUCUAAAACAUAUUCCAUGUAAUAGGUAACAUGGACAACCUUGCCUGAUGCAAACAUGAAGAACAAAGACAUGAAGACAUGAAUAUCCGUGAAAUCGCCUAAGGUGGAGUUGAUCAUGUAAUAGGUAACCAACCUUGCCUGAUGCAAACAUGAAGAACACAGACCAUCCAUGCAUAUCGCAUAUGUUAAUUUAAUUCGAACUUUAAAAGUUGAAGGAAAAGGAGAGCAGAUAAAUAAUUGCAGCCAUAUCACCUGGUUUGGGCAAGAAAGAAUUAUUAGACUAGCAAACAUCAUCAUCACCAUACUCUUCUACUUCUUCUUUCCACCCAGUAUCUCGGGUCCGCUCUCUAUUAGUUCUUGAAUCUUCAGCUACUUGAGAUAUCUGUAAACCAAUUCAAGCAUGGCAUACACAUUCUAACUUGUAAAUCUUAUUAUUGAGCGAAAUAAGAAACAAACACACUAAAAGAGAUGCAAGAAAUCAAGUCAAAUCUACAGCACCUCUGAUUGAGCACUCAUUGAACCAUCUGGUGUAAUAGCAAAUUUUGUGCUCAACUUUGUGCAUUCAUACACCUUCAACUUCUCCAAACGUGGGAAUAAGAAAUCACAACAUCCGAAACUGAAGAGGACAAUACUUGAUAAUUGUUUUAGCAACAGCUCCUUUAGAUCGGAAAGCACCAUCUCCUUCUCAACAUUGACAGGUGAAGCAUGAUCAUCCUGCCCAAAUACUCCCAAUACUUGAGAGGAUUUUGUUACUCUAAGUAUUUGGAGCUUUGGGAGACUUAAAGCCAUGGCUACUGGGAAAAGGCUCUUCAACGUGUUGCAUUCUCUAAUCUCAAUAUGACUUAAAUUGGGAAAGCAUAAAGAUCGAAGAGGAUCUCCUAACAAUAUCUGGUCGUUUUCAUCAUCAUCCUUAGCAAUGAUUUGCUCUAAUUCCUCACAGGACAAUAUCUUUAGAGCUUUCAGUUGAACUAGAUUGAUAAUCAUGCUGCAUGUGAAUACAUGUGUCAGUCUCUUACAAUUAACCACCUCUAAAGUAGUCAAUUUGCUCAGCACAAGACCCUUCCAUAUACACCUCAUGUCAGGUAGGGAUUCCAAGUAUAAUGUUUCCAAAUUUGUCAGCCCCUGCAUCAAAAGAAAACAAGGAUACCAAUUUGUUAGAUAUAAUUCCUAAUAAAUUUUGUGCACUUUGGAACUAUAUAAUUUAAGUAAAUAAAUGAACGACUUGUCCCCAAUACUUCAGCCAAAAACUUAACAACAAAAGGAUACAAGUAGACAUGGCAACAGGGCAUGGGAACAUGAAAUCAGAAGUUGCAGGACUGAAAGAGACAACUCAAUAUAAGAUGGAGGUUUAUCUUCCUUUUCAAAUACUUCCAUUAAUUGGGGGAAGAGCCUCAAUUUCACUCAAACUUUGGAAAGCAUAAAGAUUGAAAAAUCUAGGUAGGAUUUCAUUACAAUAAUUAUUUGUUCUAGUGACAGCUACCACAAAUUAGGAAGCACCAUCUCCUUCUCAACUUUGAUAGGUGAAGCAUGAUCAUCUUGCACAAAUACUACUAAUAAUUGAGAAGCUUCACUUACUUUCAGUAUUUGGAGCUCUGGGAGACCUGAAGUCAUGGCUAUUGGGAAGAUACUCUUCAACUUGUUGCAUUUUCUGACAUCAAUUUCACACAAAUUGGGAAAGCAUAAAGAUCAAGAAGAUCUUCUAACAAUAUCUGGUCGUUUUCAUCAUCAUCCUUAGCAAUGAUUUGCUCUAAUUCCUCACAGGACAAUAUCCGUAGAACUUUCAGUUGAACUAGACUGACAAUCAUGCUACAUGUGAAUACAUGUGUCAGUCUCUUACACUUAACCACAUCCAAAGUAGUCAAUUUGCUCAGCGCAAGACCCUUCCAUAUACACCUUGUUGUAACCCAUUUUUGGGUCCCUAUAAAAAAAAUAAUAAAUAAAAAAAAAUAAAAAAAAUAAAAAAUAAAAAUGUGCGCAGUACUGGCGCAGUAACCUGUAGAUUAAUUCUCUGGUUACUGUACACACAGUAACCCGGUUACUAUGUGCACAGUAACCAGCCAAAAAAAAAAUAGAAAAGGGCUAAACGGUGCCGUUUUGAACGGCACUGUUCCCCUUUCUUCCCCGCCUAACAUACAGCAGUAGAGAAGGAAAAAAGAUGUAUAUUUAAUGGCGUUGGUCCCUCCAGCCCACCGACCGAAGACAUUGGCCGACCGCCUACCGCACCGCCGAAACUGAGGGAGGCACGCCUGGACAGCCACGCCCGACCAGCCGCCGCAUGACCCCACGAUGAAAAAAAAAAAAAAAACACAUGCUCACGGGCUAUAAAUGGAGGAGAAGAGAGGAGGAAGGAGGAGGGAGAGAGAGGGAACAGAAGAGGUAACAGAAGGGAGAAUAGAGUGAGAAGAGAGGAGAGAAGGCAGAGAAGAAGAAGGGAAGAGGCAGAGAAGAAAACGGGAAAAAACAGAGGAGAGAGAGAGAAGGAAAACCGCCGGCCACCGCGAACCGCCAGCGCCGCCGCCGCCACCCCUGCUGCAUCAGCUGCUGCCAGCAUCAACACAGCUUCAGGUAACGUCCUACCUUUCCCGUCAUUUUUUUGCUUCAGUUCAUGCAGAACGUUUACGUUCUGCAGAAUUAAUUAGCUAGUUACUGUGCACAGCACAGUAACUAGCUAAUUAAUUCACAUUACUGUGUGCACAGUAACCCCCGGUUACUGCAUUGCUAAUUAAUUCUGUGGUCACUGUGUGUACAGUACCCCCGGUUACUAUGUGCACAGUGACCAGCCUAUUCUUUGAGCCAGGUUCGGCCCAACCCAUAUAUUUGGGCCUGAUCCGACCCGUUUCAAAAAAAAAAAAUCAAAAAAAUUUGUUUCAGUAUUUUAUAAUUUUUUUAGUGUAAUUUUUAUGUCAUUUCGAUUAAUAUUUGAUGGUAUUUUUUUAUGUUGUUAAAAAUACAAAAAUCUGAUUUUUCAAAUACCCGGUUUUCGUAAAAAAAAAAAAAAAAAAACUUCCACAAAAUACAAAAAAUUAAAAAAAGAAAAAAAACUGUUUUUGUACAUACGGCCAAGUGUCUCAAAGCUAAAAAUUCAUAUUGUAUUUUUUUCAUACACAAAAAAAAUGUUUUAGCAUGCAUUUUGGCUUUAAUAACCAGUUUAUUAAAGUCAAGAGAAUAUUGGCCAAUAUUUCAAAAACAACAAAAAUUUUAUUUUGUUUCUCUUAGUAUCCGGGGUAUGACUUUACACGUAAUGCAUAUUCCGGAUAUUUAAUUCUUUUUUUUUGGACAAUAGAACCUGGGGUAUGACAUUACAUGUAAUGCGUAUUCCGAACAAUAAGAAACCACAACACGACCUUAGAUUUUAUCAGACAAAACAAUGCAGCCUACCUUAGGUAGGGCGUAGUUGGGGUGCUAAUACCUUCCCUUUACGCAACCAGUCUUCGUACCCGAUCUCUAAAGACCAGUUAGGGUUCCUAGUAACCAGAAUACUAGGUGACGACUCCCAGUCCAUAUUUGCACUUGUAGAGACAAGAAUUCCUUGUCUCUCCCUAUUUUCCAGGAAUAAAUAUUUUUCCAUUUUUUCCUUGAGGGUGGACGAUCGCCGCGCCGCCGCACACGUGCGAUACACCUCAUGUCAGGCAGGGAUUCCAAGCAUAAUGUUUCCAAAUUUGUCAAACCCUGCAUCAAAAGAAAACAAGGAUACCAAUUUGUUGGAUAUAAUUCCUAAGAGAUUUUGUGCACUUUGGAACUGUAUAAUUUUGGAAAAUAGAUGAACGAAUUGUCCCCAAUACUUCAGCCAAAAACAUCAACAAAAGGAUAUAAGUAGGCAUGGCAACAGGGCAUGGGAACAUGAAAUCAAAGUUGUAGGACUGACAGAGACAACUCAAUAUUAGCAGAUGGAGGUUUAUCUUCCUCUUCAAAUACUUCCAUUAAUUGGGGGAAGAGCCUCAAUUUCACUCAAACUUGGAAAGCAUAAUGAUUGAAAAUCUAGGUAUCAUUUCAUUACAAUAAUUAAUUUCUUACUUCUUAAGCCCUGCAUCAAGAGACAGGGAAAGAUACAUUUAGACAACUCCUUUUAAAUAUAGUGGAUGGCUAAUGGAUUUAUCUCCACUUAUCAUAGUGUAUUGAAGUUGACAAUUUAAAUAAAAAAGGAAAAAAUUAUUGGAGAAAUAUAAAGGACGUACUUGUAGCUGUGCCGACAAAUUACCCAAUUCUUCAUGGCCAGAGAUGCAUAGAUUUUGCAAAGAAGGUAAUUGGGCAGCAAAAUUCUUCAAACCAAAAAAGCUGUAAUUUGAUCUGGAAAAAAGCUCCAAUUUUCUUAGUCGAGGGAACUUGAUGAUGCCAUCUCUGGUGAGUGCAUCUCCUUCUCCACUGUGAAAUAUUUGCUUUAAAUUGUCAGCAAAUUCAAUCUCCAUCUCUUCCAGGUUCAGAAGGCUUGGAGACACAGAGAUAGGGAAGACAUAUUCCAGUUUACAACACUUUUCUAUGAAGAUAAAUUUUAAUUCUGGGAAGCCAGGAGACUCUGGAAUUAUCUCCCAUUCACCAUCCUCUUCUUUGAUAAUAUGCUUCAAUUCACCACAUUUUUCUAUCUUAAGUGUCUGCAGUUGUGGUAGACUCUGAGCGAGGGACGAUGUGAAGAUAAAUGUCAGUUUGUCGAGAGAAUACAAAUUCAGAAGAGUAAGACUUUGGAGGCUGACAUGUCUGGUGGACCCCUUCCAUAUACAUUUAAGCUCAGGUAGCUCUCGCACCUGUAACUUUGUUAAAGAUGACAGCAGCGGCAGCUCCUUCUCCUCACUGCUUCCUUCAUCAGCAUCACCCAAUUCAAAUACCUCUUCCAAUGAUUUGCAGUCCUUUAUUUCCACACUCUUUAGAUUUUUCAGAGCUUGCAGCAAUUUUGCUGGAAACGGAGUGCGGACAUCCCCACAAUCCCUCACUUCUACAAAUUCUAAUCUUUGUAAGAAGCUGUUUUGCUGCCCAUGGCCAUGGGCAACCAUCUGAUCAGAGAACAAUAUUAUGUUUUUUAAACCCUUCACUCUCAUAAAAACAAUUUAUAUGAUGUAUAAAUAGAAAAAAAAAAUAGGAUUAAAUAUAAAGUACAUACUUGUAGCAGUGCCAACCAAUUACUCACUUCUUUCCACCCGUUAUCUCUGGUCCACUCUCUAUUAAUGCUUAUAUCUUCAGCUACUUGAGAUAUCUGUAAGCAAUUCAAGCAUGGAAUACACAUUCUAACUUGUGAAUCUUAUUAUUGAGCGAAACAAGAAACAAACACACUAAAAAGAGAGAUAAGAAAUCAAGUCAAAUCAGCAGCACCUCUGAUUGAGUACUCAUUGAACCAUCUGGUGUAAUAGCAAAUUUUGUGCUCAACUUUGCGCAUUCAUACACCUUCAACUUCUCCAAACAAGGGAAUAAGAAAUCACAGCAUCCGAAACUGAAGAAUAAAAUACUUGGUAAUUGUUCUAGUGUCAGCUCCUGCAGACAAGAGAGCACCAUCUCCUUCUCAACAGUUAUAGGUGCAGCUUGAUCAUCCUGCCCAAAUACUCCCAAAAAUUGAGACGCUUUUGUUAUUUUAAGUAUUUGGAGCUUUGGAAUACCUGAAGCCAUGGUUACUGGGAAGAGACUCUUUAACUUGUUGCAUUCUUCAACCUCAAUUUCACACAAACUAGGGAAGCAUAAAGAUAAGAGAUGAUCUCCUGACAACAUCUGAUCCUUUUCAUCAUCAUCCUCAGCAAUGAUUUGCUCCAAUUCCUCACAACUUGAUGUCUUUAGAACUUUCAGGUGCACUAGAUUAGCAAUCAUGUUGUAUGUGAAUACAUAUGUCAGUCUCUUACACCCAUUCACCUCCAAAAUAGUCAAAUUGCUCAGCACACGACCCUUCCAUAUAUACCUCAUGUCAGGCAAGAAGUUCAAGUAUAAUGUUUCCAAACUCCGGAGUGAAAGUUCAUGCCCACCUCUUCUAUCAGUUACAAAACUUACAACCUGAAUUCCAUCUUUUAUUCCUCCGCAUUCUCUAAUAUAUAUAUGUCUCAAAUCUGAAAGCCCCUGCAUCAAAAGAAAACUACUUUGGAACUAUAUUAUAACUUUGGUACCCCAAUUUGUUGGGUAUAAUUCCUAAUAAUUUUUGUGCACUUUGGAACCAAUUAUCCCCAAUACCUCAGCUAACUACUUAUCAACAAAAAGAUAUAAAUAGACAGGGCAAUAAGGCAUGGGAUAUGAAAUCAUAAGUUGCAGGACUAAACACAUACAACUCAAAUUAAGCUCAAUAUUGGCAGUUGAAGUUUUAUCAUCCUUCCCAAAUACUUCCAAUUUUAGGGAAGAGCCUCAAUUUCACUCAAAUAAAGAUUGAAAAUACAUGUCUCAGUUCAUUAUUUCUAACUUCGUAAGCCCUGCAUCAAGAGACCGCGAAUGAAGUAGUUAGAGAACUCCUUUUAAAUUCAGUGGAUGCAUUUAUCUCUACUUAAUUAGGUUUUAGAAAGUUGGAGGAAGAAGGAAGAAAUUUAAAGUUGACAAUUUAAAUGAAAAGGUACAAAAUUAGCAGAGAAUAUAAACGAAUGGUUAGAUUUAAAUGACGUACUUGAAGUUGUUCCAACAAAUUACCCAAUUCCUCAUGGCCAUGAAUGGUUAGAUUUUGCAGAGAAGGCAACUGGGCAGCAAAAUCCCUAUGACCAAAAAAGCUGUAAUUUGAUUCAGACCAAAGAAUCAACUCUCUUAGCUUAGGGAACUUGAUGAUGCCAUCUCUGGUGAGUGCAUCUCCUUCACCGUAAAAUAUUUGCUUUAAAUUGUCAGCUUUAUCAAUCUUCAUCUCUUCCAGGUUCUGAAGACUUGGAGACACAGAGAUAGGAAAGACAUAUUCAAGUUCAGCACAGGCAAAUAUAUAAAGAGUUUUUAAUUCUAGGAAGGCAAGAGACUCUGGAAUUAUUUCCCUUUCAUCAUCCUCCUCUCUUAGAACAUACUUCAAUUCACGACAAUUUCUUAUCUCAAGUGUUUCUAGCCGUCGUAGACUUUGAGCGAGGGACAGUGUGAAGAUAAAUGUCAGUUUGUGAAGACGGUUCAAAUUCAGAUGAAUAAGACUUUGUAGGCUGACAUGUCUGGUGGGCCCCUUCCAUAUACAUUUGAGCUCAGGUAACAUUUCCAGCUCCAACCUUGUUAAAGAUGACAGCAGCGGCAACUCCUCCUCGACAUUGCUUUCAUCAUCCAAUUCAAAUACCUCUUCUAAUGAUUUGCAGCCAUUAAUUUUCACACUCCUUAAAUUUUUCAAAACUUGCAGCACUUUUGAUGGAAAAGGAGUACAGAUAUCCCCACAAUGCCACACUUCUACAAAUUCCAAUCUCUGGAAGAAGCCGUUUUGCUGCUCAUGAUCAGAAAACAAUACUAUAUUUUUUAAACCCUUCACUCUCCUAAAAACAAUUUGAGACACAGUAGGAAAUAACUGCUCCAAUAUCUCUGCAUUUAAGGAUGUGGCGCUUGUAUUAUCCAAAUGUAAUCUUGUCGAGGUUGGGUAUCCUACUGGAUCCCUUAUAAAUGGAUUAUAAUUCCCUAAAAUUAUAUCAUAUUUGAACACUCUGGGAAAAACAAAAUCUCUGGGAAUGCUUUCAACCUCUGGUAUCCUCAAUGAUAAUACAGCUAAAUUAGACAACGAAUUUAGUUCUGUUAGGCUUGCGUUCAUUCCUCCUGUGCUGUCACAUCCAUCAACAUCCCACCCCCCAAAGCUCUUUUUCCCGAUCAGCAGCUCUUCUAACUUCCACAACCUUCCAAUCAAAUUCACAGGGAUCCUUCUUAGCCUUUGACAACCUGUCACAUCCAGCAACCUUAACUCCUUGAGUUCUCCUAUUUCAUCAGGUAAUUCUUCGAUGGAUAAGCACCACAUAAGACCAAGAAUCUUAAGUCCCUGCAGCUUUCUCAACCAAAUGAGGUCCUUGCAUUCGCACUCCAUCAACACCAUCGAUUGAAGUUUCGUUGAGAGUUCGAGUGAUUGCAAUGACAAACACCCUCCCUUCACAGACAAAACUUCAAUUUCUUUCAUCCCUUCAAAAAACCUCUCUGGAACAUUCAAACCAUCAUCAACUUCUAAUAAUAGAACUUUGAGCUGUGGACAUACCAAUCCUUCAGGAAGUUCUGCUAGUUUAUUGCCCAUUAACGAAAUUGUGGUAAAACCUUCAAAGCUUUCAUUGCCAAUGGGCCACUUCUGCAACCCAACGCCAGCCUUUACCAUGAAUCCAUUUUCUGAUGAUGCUAUCUGAAUAGCAACAUCACGAACCAAGUCAUGCAUUUUCACAUGUUCUUCAGUUUCACUGCCCAACAACAUGCCACAGUCUUCGAGGUCUUCGAUUGCCACAUAAACUUGUACCCUUGCAUCUUCAAUGGGCUCCCCAUCUUGAUGUAACCCAUAACCAAUUGCAUAUCUCGUCAAGUCCUCAAUUGGAAUGUCAUAAUCUUCUGGAAAUAAACUGCAUAGCAAGAAACAUAACUUGGUUUUCUCGAACUUCAAAUAAUCAUAGCUCAACUUAAGACAUGUAAAAGCAUUCUUUUGUUCGUCAAUUUGUUCCAUGAGCGAAAAUUGAGAGUCUUUGAGCUGUUUAGACGCUACUUCCCACUCAACUUUAGAUUUAUUUCUUAGAACCUUUCCCACUGUCACAAGUGCUAUAGGCAAGCCUUUGCAUUCUCUCGCAACCUCCAUUGCCACUGUGUUCAAGGUAGAGUCCCCAUCAUCUAAACCUGCAUUGAUUCUGAAUAAAUCCCAUGCUUCUUUUUCAGAAAAGAGACCUAAAAACACUUUUUUCUGGCACUUCAUAUAAAAACAUAUGUCUCGAAGACGUGUUGUUAGAAGAAUUUUACAACCCCUGUGAUAAUCACCAAAUGGGAUCCCUAUUUCUUUCAAAUCAAUAUGUUUCCAAACAUCAUCCAGGAUUAUUAGCAUCUUCUUUCUCUGCAGUCUCUUCCAUAAUCGAUCUGCUCUCCCUUCUUUACUCUUUUCUUUAAUUUUCAAACCUAACAUAUCUGCCAGUCGAUCCUGGAUGUCUGUGGCAUUUGGAUUCUGCGACACCGUAGCCAUCAAAACUUCAUCAAACAGCUGCAACUCUUUGGCUCUCCUGCCUACUUCUUUCACCAGGGUGGUUUUACCCACCCCUCCCAUGCCGUACAGUCCGAUCAUAUUGACGUUGUCAUCUUUGAGAGCUUUCAUAAUCUGUUCCAAAGCUUCUUUUGACGAUUCUGAGGGCCUGAAAUCCUUUGAUGGAAGAAAUUCUAUGGGCUCAGGAUGAGCUCUGUGGGACACUUUUGUAGGCUUUUUUUCUAAAUGUUCUCUGAAAGUCUCCGACUUCUUGGCCAGUACCUUGCUUAACUUGAAUUGUCGCUUGCAGUUUGGACACCAAGUGAAGCAUUUGCCAUUUUUUCCUAUUUCAUGUACAAUUUCUUCAGCAUCUACCAGCCACUUUUCGACAUCUUUGUAAAUUUCUUCAGCAUUCCUUUCAGCAGCUUCGACAUCGUCUUGCAGACGUUCUUUUUCCGAGACCAGCUUCUCCUGUUGUUGUUCGAAUUCCUUAACAAAAGUGUUGAAACAGAACAUGUAACGGAACUGCCUUCCUACUGGUUCCACCAUGAGUUCUGCUAUCUUAGAUAUAAUGGAUCCACCCACACUUUCGAUAGCCAUUUUCCACCAGUCUGAAAUCAGAGAAAUGAGGAUACAGGACGUGAGAGUGAGUCACUACAAGCAGGCGCAGAGAGAAUGGGAAUAGGAAUUUCAUUACCUUAACUUGAGAAAAUAUGUGCGGAAAGUACUGAGAGCUCAAUGAAAUAGCGGGAGGAAGAAAAGGAGAAGGCCUUUAGCUCUGUAUGGAAUCCAGCUUCAAAAGCAACAAGGCAAGGUAUAAAAUUCUAGCUGACACUUGUGAGUUAAAGCAGUAAUUCCCAUUAAAAUGCAUUUUGAUGACAUAAUUAAGAUCAAAUAGAGACAGGAAAGGCACGGUUGAGAUAAGUAGAGGGAGAGGUUGUUGGAGGCAGAAAAGGAAAGACUACGAUAAUAUUUUUCUCUAUAUUUUGAGUUUUAGUUGUUAAUAGCCAUGCUCUUGCAAAUAAGGCAGGAAAUAGCGUGUUUGUUUUUUAUUUUUUAAAGUAUUUUUUUAAAAAAAUAAUUUUUUGUAUUCUAAAUUAAUUUUUUAUUUUUUAUAUUGCUAUAAAAAUAUUUUUUAACAAAUAACAAAAUAUUAUUUUAAUAUAUAUUUUUAAAAUAAAUAUAUUUAAAAAAACUACUACUUAUUCAAACACUUAAAAUAAAAAUCUUAAAAUCACAGCGAUGAAUAAAAGGAGAAAAAGGAAUGGGAUAAGAAGGAAGAAAAAUACUAUUUGUUUUUUUACUGUAUCAGAGUGGUUUUUAUAUUAUAUUUUUAAUAUUUCUUGUUAUUAUAUAUAUAUAUAUAAUAUUUUAAUAUGGUUUUAAAUAAAAAAACUAUUAACAAAAUAUGUGUCACAAUACUAAAUUAUACUAUAAAUUAAAAGAUAAAGAGCUUUCUGUUUAUUACUAUUUACCGAGACUUAUUUUAUUGUGGAUGUGGAUAUUAAUAGUGAAUAUUUUUAAAAUUUUCAAUUUGGUAUUUGAAUUAUUAUUUUUUUGCAUAAUUGAAUCUCUUCAUGCUCAAAUUAAAACUCAAUUGCAUUUUUUUUAAGGAUAAGAGUUGAAUUAUAAGAUAGGUGACUAAAAUGAAAAACUCAGUAAAAAUAUGUGGCGACACUGUAAUUGUUUGCAAAGUUCAUUUUAGUCCUGUAUCUUUUAAGAUGUCCCAAUAAUUUCUCAACAUUACAUUUUAUCUAGAAUCUCUGAUUAUGCUCUAGGGACUAUAUUGAAAUUUUCAUAAAUUGAGAAAUCAAACUAAAAUUUCAUCACCUUCAAUCUCAAACCUAGAAUUUUCACAUAUCACCUGCUGAUAUAACAAAAUUUCGAACUCAAAUUCACCAUUUAAACAACCCAUAACUCAAAAUCAUUAUCUUUACUUAAAAACUUUUAAAAUCAACUAAAUAACUCAUUGUCCAUAACAAUGAACACAUAAUAUUCAAAUCAAUUCAUCAAUCAAACCCAAAACACAAUCUUCAAAACCCUAAUAUUCAACAAAACAGAAAAUUAAAGCUAAGAAAAACACAUUUAUCCACAUCAAAGUGUAAAUAUUCUUACAUUUUAAUUUAUUUUCUCUAACUCUCUUAUCCUUUCUUUAUCUUUUCCUAGUUUUUCUUUUUUUUCUUUCGCUCUCACGGUCCUCUAUAAGAUUUCAGAUCUAUCUUUUUUAUUAUUAUUUAUAUUUUGAACUCUUUAUUCAAUUACUACAAUACCGUUCAUUCAUUUAUACCUACUUCUAAGCCUCCAUGGGUUUUGUUGUCUUUUUCUAUUCUUUUUUAUUUUCAAAUCAUUACAAUAAAAUUGUUUUCUUUUCAUUAAGCUGCUAAUUUAUGCAGCUUUAGCUCUUGUUCUCUUUUCAUGUUUAGCAACUCUGAUCUGUUCCUUUUCUUUACAUGAUAUAAGGACAGGUUCUUACCUCUUGAAGUCUGCUGGAUAAACCUAUAAGCAGAAGAUCCUGAAGCGAUCCCAAAUCACAGCUUCAAUCCCCACCGCAACCAAUCUCCUCUUUCCCGUAGUCUGUCGUCCUCAAUUGGGAAAUGAUCUCAAAAAAUCACUUGAUGCAACAAGUAGGGUAGAGAAAUAUAAGACUUCAACAAAGAAUCAAACUCAAAAAAGUUGAAGUAAUUGUCUAUGAGAAGCAUUUCUGUGUCACACACUCAAGUAAUAUGAUUGACCUAUUACAUUAUACAAAUUAAUAAUAAUAAUAAUAAUAAUAAUAAUAAAAGAACUAGAUUUUUGAUGGCAUCCAGAGUGCUGUUAGUUUCAAACAAAGAGGCUUGUGCAUGCGGUGUUACGCUGUUCAUGUACGCUAAGAUCUCCUAUGAAUACAAUUGUAUAAUCAUACAAUUGUAUUAGUUUUAUUAAGCUGUUAAUUUAUGCAGCUUUAGCUCAUGUUCUCUCUUCUUGUCUUGCUAUUCUGAUUUUAUCUUUUUCUUUGCAUGAUAUAAGAGCAGGUUCUUACCUCUUGAAGUCUGCUUCAAUGCCCGUAGUCGUCCUCAAUUGGGAAAUGAUCCAAAAUCAACAACUGGUCCGGAGAUAGUUUGUGUGAAAAGAAACGGCUGAAAGAUGAAAUGUGAAGGUUAUGGUGAGAAAUUAGAUGACAAACUUACUUUGUCCUACUAAUGCUUUUGCUUUCAUUGUUUCGAAAGUUAAAGAGACAUAAACAUAAUCAUUUCCUUCCUUCUACUUUCCACAAUGUCUAAUUUAUACAUCAAAAAAUGGCAGUUUUUCUUUUCCUUUCUUUUUAAAAUCUUAUGCCUAAUUGGGUGAGGAAAUUAGUGGAGCAUUAGAGUUUUGAAAAGACAACAAAAAGAAGCAAUGUCUCAUCUUUUGAUAUGGUGGUACAAGAUACACCAUGGUAUGGUGGUCUUGCAAGAAAUGUCUUAGCUUUUGAUAUGGUGGUCUUCUUCCAUGAUCAGUUUUCGAAAGAUUCGAGUCUCCGUUCUAGUUCAGGUUGGAAGCUAGGCCGAAAGCUAAGAUUCUUUUAUUAGUGGUUGGUGUGGAUGAGUAUUGCAAGAAUGGACUCUAAGGGUCAGCUAAUCCGCAUAAUUAAACUACUAGGAAAUUCAAGGAAAGUUAACAAUAGUAUUGAUUCGAUCAAGUAAGGGGAUCCGGUGUCUAGAGAGGACCUUGCCGUUAAGGAAAUAACCAUAAAAACUAUGGAGCCCACUAUUUAUUAAUCCAUUUCUAUUUACUACUUAUUACUAUUUAUUUAUUUUUAUUAAUUUACUAUAUUUUUGUUUGUGUACCAAUAAAAUUUGAGAUUCCUUUAAUUUUUUAGGUGCAUGGUCUAGUCUAUUGGCUGCAUGUACAAAAUCAAUUCAAGGGUGUGUAUCCUUAACUAUCAGGCUAACCUUUACAGGCUUAGCUCGCAAUCGAUAAUUAAUUUUUAAUGAAUUCAAUUUUUAUUUAAAAUAAGGAAAAAGACAUUGGUGAAUAAAUAGUUUCCUUCCUAUUAUAAUUGUUAGACCUUACCAAAGGGCUAAUUUAGAAAAAGACUAACUUAUAGGUCUAACAAUUAAAGAAAAAAGUAUAUUUAGACCUUCCUAUUAUUGGUCAACUUGUGAUUAAGUAGAUCAAUUUAAAUUAAUUAUUUUUAUUAAAAUGAUAAUGUUUUGUUUUUUCUCUUGAUAUUAAUUUGGCUAAUUUUUAUCAAAUCAAUAUUUUAUGUUCAAUCUAGCAUACAGGUUUAACAAAUAUGCUUCGCACUUGCAGCCGUGGUUUGCUGUGGGCAUUUGAUAAUUGGGAGAGGCUUUAGUUUCGUACCUGUUGAUCUGCUUCAUAUACACUUGGACCUCUUAUUUUAUAUUUUAUAUUGGUUGGAUCCAAACUUAAUCCAACACAAAAUUAACAUAUUUAUUAUUUAUUUAAGAUAAAUGAUAUGGCUUUAACAUAUUAGCGUACACUUAAUAUGAUUAAAUUUAAUUUUAAUUAAUUAACAUCUCACCGUAAUAAAUUUACCAUUUGCAACCAAAAAACAGUCGACACCUUAUUAAUAUAAUCAAUAUAGUAGAAAAUUAUAGUGAUUUAAAACAAUUCAUUAAAAUGUUUGUAAAUGUUUUUAUUUUGUGACCACGGUUCUUGUGUUAUCUUUUAUGUAUUGUCAUUGUCGUACAUGGAAGCAUCAUAUGGGGGUCAUUUGGAGUCGCUACCUAGUUGUUUAGUUUAACAUCACUAAAAAAUCUAGGUAUACUAGUCCUGUUAGAGAUUCGAGAGUAAAUAACUAGUUAUGGCUAAAAAAUAUAUUAACACUCCUAACACACCCUAUCCAGGUAAGUUCCUUUGUGAUUAGAUGUGGUUUAGAGAUUUUGAUGGUUUUUUGAUAUAUCCAUGGUUUAGGAUUGGGAUUUGCUUGUAUGGAUAAAUUUGGUGUUUAAUAAUUUAGUAUGGACUCUUGUACCCAGAUAAAUUCUUAUAAAAAAAAGUUCUUUGUAAUGUGUGUAUUAUGGUAAAAAUUUCCCUCAAUAAAAAUUCAUGAAUAUUUAGAAUAACUUUGAGGAUUUUCUUAUCAACUCCAAUAUUUCAAAUAUCAGCUUCACUUAUAGGUAUCUUUUUAUAUCAAGAUUUUUAACCAUUAAUUCUCAUUAAUUAAAAAAUAGUGGUCUAUUAAAAUAUUGACCAAAUUCACAUGAAUUUAAUAAACUAGUUAUUAAAUUCUAAAAUGCAUAUUAAUAUAUAAUAUUUUAAUUUGUUUUUAAAUAAAGAAUAUUUUAAAAAAGUAUGGGCCACAAUACCAAAGUAUAGUAUAAAUUAAAAGAGAAAGGAGUUUUCUCUUCCUCACUAUUCACUUAUAUUCAUUUCACUAUGGAUAUUAAUAGUGAAUUUUUUGAAAAUUUUCAAUUUGAUACUUAAUUUUAACAAUUGAGCUUUUUUAAAUCCAAAUUAAAGCCUAAUUGCAUAUUUUUUCAAGGAUGAUGGUUGAAUUGAAAGACAUAGGACUGAAGUGAAAAACUCGACUAAAAUAAGUCGUGGCUUUGCAAUUUGAUUGCAAAGUUCAUUUUAGCCCCUAUAAAUUUUCAUCAUUGUAUUUUCAUACCAAACUUUAUUUUUUUCUAUUUUUUAUUUUUUUUGUAGGAGAGAGAGGAUCACCAUAUUUCGUUGUGGAGAGAGAAAGUUGCUGGGGAUUUUGGCCACCAAUUUUCUAGUUGGUUUUGGUUAAAAUAGGCUGAAAACAGGUUGUGGCUUACAACUGAGUUUUUUACUAAAUUAGUCAAUGUUUUUUUUAGUUUUUCUUUUUUAAAAAACAAUUCAACAAGAGAAAAGACUUGUAAAAAUAUAGAAUUACAUAAAGAAACUCAACAAAAAAUCAGACUCAAGCAAUUAAAAAUAAUUUUCUAUGAUAACCAUCUCUGUAUCACACAUUCAGGUAAAUAUGAUUGACCUAUAACAUAAAUAAAGCCCUGCAAACAAUUAAAUUAUGCUUCAAAAGCAACAAGACAAGGUAUAAAGUAUACCAACAAAAAUAGUUUACUAACUGACACUUGUGAGUUAAAGCAGUAAUUCCCAUUAAAAAUGCAUUUUGAUGUCAUAAUUAAAAUAAUAUAUAGACAAUGACAAAAUAAAAUAAUAAUAAUAAAAUAAUGUGUAAAAGAAACGAAUGAAAGAUUCAGAUAAUCACUUAGACAUGUAAAAUUACUCAACUGGCAAAAAGAAACGAAUGAAAGGUUCGGUAAUCACUUUUAGACUUCUCCACGGAUGAUACCAGCUCGCUUCCACCAACAAAUAUAAUUAACCUAAGCUAUGAUAGGUCAAAGUUCUUUUUAGUUUUCUUCUUAAUUUUUUUUUUUUAAAAAAACAGAUCAACAAGAGAAAAGACUUGCAAAAAAGUAGAAUUACGAAACUCAAAAAAAGAAUCAAACUGAAGCAAUUAAAAAUAAUAGAAUAUGAUGACCAUCUCUUAUCACACAUUCAGGUAACAUGAUUGACCUAUAACAAUAUUAAAAAAACAAAAACAAAAAGCUAAUAGAUGGUCGGCACGUGUUCAACUUUAUCUACCUUAAGGAAAGGAUAGAAAGUGGGAGAGAGAGAGGUUAAAAGGCUUAAAAAAAGAAAAGAGCAGGAAAGACAGAAAUAAAAGAAAGGUUGAGAUAAGAGAGGGACGUGGAAAUAGAAGGAGAGGCUGAGGGAGGCAAAACGGAAGAAGACAUUGGAAGAUCGGAGGAGAGUAGAGAAAACAAUAUGAAUAUGUGAUGCUCGUUUAUCUAUUUGAUUGGGAUUUUUUUGUGCCUUUGAUAAAAAUACUCUGUUUUUUUUUUUAUCUCUUUGAUUGGGAUUUUUUUGUGUCUCUUUUAUUUGGAAUUUCUUUGGACACUUUAAUAAUAUAAUAACAAAGAAAAUUAAAAUAUUGGUGAAAUUAUUGUUCAUUCAAACAUAAAUUUACUGUGAACUACAGUAGUAUUUUUUUUCAUACUCUUCCAAAUAAUGCAGGAAAUGAGGACCUGAAAUGACAGCAGCGAAUAACGUGUUUGUUCUUGUUUCUUCUAAAGUAUUUAAAAAAAACAAUUAAAUUAAAUUUUAAUUUUAUUUCAAAUUAAUUUUUGAAAAAACUAAUUUGAAAAUUAGUAUGAAAAAAAAGGAUAAUAGAGUAGGUGUCCAAAUCAAAACACAUAAAUAUAGGACAAAAACAGGGAGAGAGGCUCUUUGUUUUUUUAACUGUAUUGGUUUAUAGUGUUUUAUGAAUAUUUUAGAUAAAAAAUAGGUUAAAAGCAAGUUUUUAAAUAAAAAAUCAAGCUUUAUUAUUUUAUAUAAUUCAAAUAAAAUCAAUUUAUUUAAUUGUUUAGAAUUAUAACUCAAGUUAUUUAACGUCUUUUUAGAAAAAAAAAAAAAAAACACUUGUAACAUAGUGCAGUACAAACAGAAGAGACAUAACCAUAGUGGCAAAAAUCUUAAAGGGUUCUAAACUUCUAAAUUAUUUCUGUUACUUUCCCUCAAUUUUCUAGACAAGCAAAAGGAGCUAAACUUAUUCCCGACCAAAACGUCAAGAAUUUCAGUAGAACAAAAGAAGAGAUUAUUACUUGACCAAAAACAAGCAGUCAUCACCCAAAGAAACCGAGUCAAUGAGAGAAAAAGAGUGAUAGCUAGAAAACAAUCAACAGAUCCAAGAAUUUUCUGUAUGGUUUCCAAGAAAAUGAAACGAAACAAAGAUAGACAAAGAUAGUUCGAGGAAGUGGGCAGCCUUUUUUCUGCUGUUCACGCAGACUAAGAACUCCUACCAUCGUAAAAUCAUAUAAUUAAAACACAACAAU
rnacentral:lncRNA from 1 species